rnacentral:rRNA from 1 species
AACGAACGCUGGCGGCAGGCUUUACACAUGCAAGUCGAGCGAGACCUUCGGGUCUAGCGGCGGACGGGUGAGUAACGCGUGGGAACGUGCCCUUCUCUACGGAAUAGCCCCGGGAAACUGGGAGUAAUACCGUAUACGCCCUUUGGGGGAAAGAUUUAUCGGAGAAGGAUCGGCCCGCGUUGGAUUAGGUAGUUGGUGGGGUAAUGGCCCACCAAGCCGACGAUCCAUAGCUGGUUUGAGAGGAUGAUCAGCCACACUGGGACUGAGACACGGCCCAGACUCCUACGGGAGGCAGCAGUGGGGAAUCUUAGACAAUGGGGGCAACCCUGAUCUAGCCAUGCCGCGUGAGUGAUGAAGGCCUUAGGGUUGUAAAGCUCUUUCAGCUGGGAAGAUAAUGACGGUACCAGCAGAAGAAGCCCCGGCUAACUCCGUG